rnacentral:tRNA from 1 species
GACCUGAUGGCUUAACUGGUAGAGCACUGCAACGGCAUCGAAGAGGUCAGGGUUCGAGUCACUGUUCAGGUCU